rnacentral:tRNA from 1 species
GGGGCGAUAGCUCAGUGGUUAGAGCAUGGGACUCAUAAUCCCUUGGUCGUGGGUUCGAUCCCCACUCGCCCUA